GAAUUAGAGUAAAGAAAGAUAUGAAUUAAAAUUCUUUAAAGAGAAACACGAUUCUAAUAGUUAAUUAAAAGGUUGCGAUUUUACUGCCACAUUCAAAGAUUAUAUUUUUUCCAAAUCGUGUAUUUACUAUAAAUAAUUUGCCCUUGCAUAAAUUAUAUGUGUACGUACCUACAUAAGUACAUAUAUACUUUUUAGUCCGAUACAUUUGGAUAUAUUUUCAAAAUUUUUGCGUAUACUUUAAGGGAUUACGAAUAGUCAGAAUUCCCAAAAUACUGAGUAAUGAUGCCCUCCAUAAAGCAACUGUUUGGAUUUCAUCAAGUUGGCUUCAAGUCUGGAAAAUUUUCCAAAUAUCAAAUUUUCACAGUGCGUCAAAUCCUGCACAAGAUCGUUAAAUUGAUUCACUUCACAUUUUCGUUGACUUAAAGCCGGUUUUGAUGCUAUAAAGGAAGCUUCUACGAUGCUAUGUCUAAAUUUGGUAUCACCGCAAAACUUAAACUGCCAAGUGACGUUGAGAAUAAUCUUCAGCUCAUCCAAAUUAGGAAAAACCUCUCACGCCAUUUGAGACCAAGCGAGGUUUUAGACCAGACAACUCACUCUCUUGCGAUUUUUUUUAUCUGAUUCUGGAAAGCGUAAUACGGGCUGCCCAUUUGAAUUGCAAAGAAUGUUACUCAUACGCCACGUACACCUGAGUAACACUGAGUAACAGGUAUUUGUAGAUGUGGAAGGAUUUUAUGGUUUAAAAAUUUGUUCAAAAUGACGGUCGAAAUCGUGGUUUAUAACUUUCCGUAUUUGUGUAUAGUUUUUAUUAGAGCAACAGAAGCCAAAUCACCAAUUUUUAGAAUUUUUGUCUGGCA